CCUACGGGUGGCAGCAGUGAGGAAUAUUGGUCAAUGGCCGAGAGGCUGAACCAGCCAAGUCGCGUGAGGGAAGACGGCCCUCCGGGUUGUAAACCUCUUUUGUCGGGGAGCAAAGCGAACCACGUGUGGUUCAUUGAGAGUACCCGAAGAAAAAGCAUCGGCUAACUCCGUGCCAGCAGCCGCGGUAAUACGGAGGAUGCGAGCGUUAUCCGGAUUUAUUGGGUUUAAAGUUUGCGUAGGCGGAAUAUCAAGUCAGCGGUAAAAAUUCGGGGCUCAACCCCGUCGUGCCGUUGAAACUGAUGGUCUUGAGUGGGCGAGAAGUAUGCGGAAUGCGUGGUGUAGCGGUGAAAUGCAUAGAUAUCACGCAGAACUCCGAUUGCGAAGGCAGCAUACCGGCGCCCAACUGACGCUGAAGCACGAAAGCGUGGGUAUCGAACAGGAUUAGAUACCCCAGUAGUC
rnacentral:rRNA from 1 species